rnacentral:rRNA from 1 species
GGCCUACCAUGCAAGUCGAACGGUAACAGGAAGAAGCUUGCUGCUUUGCUGACGAGUGGCGGACGGGUGAGUAAUGUCUGGGAAACUGCCUGAUGGAGGGGGAUAACUACUGGAAACGGUAGCUAAUACCGCAUAACGUCGCAAGACCAAAGAGGGGGACCUUCGGGCCUCUUGCCAUCGGAUGUGCCCAGAUGGGAUUAGCUUGUUGGUGGGGUAACGGCUCACCAAGGCGACGAUCCCUAGCUGGUCUGAGAGGAUGACCAGCCACACUGGAACUGAGACACGGUCCAGACUCCUACGGGAGGCAGCAGUGGGGAAUAUUGCACAAUGGGCGCAAGCCUGAUGCAGCCAUGCCGCGUGUAUGAAGAAGGCCUUCGGGUUGUAAAGUACUUUCAGCGGGGAGGAAGGGAGUAAAGUUAAUACCUUUGCUCAUUGACGUUACCCGCAGAAGAAGCACCGGCUAACUCCGUGCCAGCAGCCGCGGUAAUACGGAGGGUGCAAGCGUUAAUCGGAAUUACUGGGCGUAAAGCGCACGCAGGCGGUUUGUUAAGUCAGAUGUGAAAUCCCCGGGCUCAACCUGGGAACUGCAUCUGAUACUGGCAAGCUUGAGUCUCGUAGAGGGGGGUAGAAUUCCAG